rnacentral:rRNA from 1 species
AACGAACGCUGGCGGCAUGCCUAACACAUGCAAGUCGAACGAGACCUUCGGGUCUAGUGGCGCACGGGUUCGUAACGCGUGGGAACCUGCCCUUAGGUUCGGAAUAACUCCCCGAAAGGGGUGCUAAUACCGGAUAAUGUCUUCGGACCAAAGAUUUAUCGCCUUUGGAUGGGCCCGCGUUGGAUUAGCUAGUUGGUAGGGUAAAAGCCUACCAAGGCGACGAUCCAUAGCUGGUCUGAGAGGAUGAUCAGCCACACUGGGACUGAGACACGGCCCAGACUCCUACGGGAGGCAGCAGUGGGGAAUAUUGGACAAUGGGCGAAAGGCUGAUCCAGCAAUGCCGCGUGAGUGAUGAAGGCCUUAGGGUUGUAAAGCUCUUUUAACCGGGAUGAUAAUGACAGUACCGGGAGAAUAAGCACCGGCUAACUCCGUG